GUUUCAGGGCGGGGUGCGAUUCCCCACCGGCGGUGAUGGGCCGAUGGCCACAAGUCCGCGAGCUUUUUAGCAGGAUUCGGUGCGAUUCCGAAACCGACGGUACAGUCCGGAUGAAAGAAA
rnacentral:ncRNA from 1 species